AAUGCACUUGGUCUCCGUGCGCUGUACAUGUUCGGCAGGCUAUUUGAAGAUCAAAAUGAUGUAGCAUGAUUUCUCGCACAGUUACCACUACUAUUCCCGUGCUAGCACCACCUAUUGUUAAUUAUGAGGUCAACAAAACAAAAAUGAUGACUUUGUAGCUUGUUUUGUAACCAUAAUGAUGACUUUUCACUUUCUUUUAGCUUUUUGGCACUCCAACGGCACCUCUUUCAUUGUUAUCACAUAUCACAUCGCAAUAUGCCAACGUUAACGAUUCUAGCUUAUGCGAGUUUGUAUGUACAUUUGAACGAGUUUAUUUUCACUUUUAUGCGAUUUAGUUUGUACACCAAUGCGAGUUAAACUGACAUAAUUACAAAAGCACCAAGCGAAGUCGUAAAAUCAUCGCAGUUGGCAAUUUUGCGAGAUCAAUUGACACUUUGCGAGUUCACUCGAACGCUUUUGCGAAUAAGCAAAGUUCGUCGCAACAAAACAUCGGAAUAUCGUCUACUACGAUGUAGUCAUACAUUUUAAAAGUUAAUUUGCACUCUUAUAUGAUUUUACCAGAUGUAUCGCAGUAAGUUCAAAAAAUAACAUCAUAUGCGAUAAAAAUUGUCCCUCAGCCGUACAUAUAUGCGAUAGAGACUCAACAUAGUACUUUAUACGAUGUACAGCGUGCAUCCUUAUGCGAUUCCUGGUUGUCUGGGAGGUGUUCUAUUCAUCACCUUUAAUAAUCCUUACUUGAUUACCUUAUUGACUCACUUUCUUACUUAUUUGGAAACCAUAAUGGUACAGAGAGACAAGUCAGCUAACAGUUGUAAGGAUUAAUUGCUUGCAUCGGCACUCAAGACGUAGCAAACUUUUGUUCUGCCACUUCCAGUAUUACUUCCGUUGUUUGUCUCAGUUGAGAGAAAACUUGUGUCAAAAACUAUGUCAAUCGACAGUUCAGAAGACUCGUUGAAAUCACUGAAAAUCAUGUCGGGUAAUUGCUUGGUGAGAGUAACUAUCAUCCUGCCGAUGAAGACAAUGGCAUAUCUACACAAAGUUUCUGCGAAGAAACCAACUUUCCAACAGUUGUGUCUCCUCUCUGUGUUGGUAUUGAUUGCUCAUUUCAAAUGCUAUAAGACAGAAGUUUGCUGCAAUUAUUCAAAGUGAAAUUGAGCUUGCUUCUUUCACUCAUGGGUUUCAACGAAACGAUUAUUUUGGAUUGCUUUCUAGCAGGUUACAGCAUCUCUCAGGGUGGCCACAGACUCGGGAAAUUCGGGAAAUGCGGGAAAAAGUCGGGAAUCGAAAUCCAUCGGGAAAUAUGCGGGAAUAAGUCGGGAAUUUUGUUUAUGAUCGGGAAUUUUUAAAAUAAUGUGUAGCGCCUCGAGAAUGUAAGCCCAAACCUAGUUUUAGUACUUGACUUACUUUAAAUCUAGAUUCUUACACAGUUUCAGAAGUUUCACGUAGGAAUCUCAAAAACCAAAUGAUGCAGAUGAGUGUUAGAUUCAGAAUUACGAGUGAUUUCUUGUUUGAUAGAGAUUAUCCGGGUGACAUGUUUUGAUAGUCCGGAUGCUUGAGUCAACGAUUAGACCCUAUUUUAAAUCACAAUUUUUCAAAAUAAUGUUUUGAACGACUAAAAAACAUAAUUAACUCUGCAAUCACAAAAGUCAUCAUACUAAAAUAGUGGCCUUUUUUUUUUUUUUUUGAAUAAUUACUAAAACAUUGAAAAUUUAGUCGUCACGGAAGAAUUUAUGGUUGGUUUUUUAUGGAAUUAUGAAUUGAUGACGGGAGGAACUCUUAAAGUAUUUUUUGCGUAACGGAAGCAAAAUUGCAAGUUGAUAAUCAGAAGACAUAAUUCUACAGAUUUCCUUAUAGAUACGACUGUGAUCAGUUGAAUCGGGGUAAUGGCUUUCAGUCUGUUUCAAUUCAAAACGGAUUCUUAUGUUUUAUCCGACGUUUCGGACACAUAGUGCCUAUGCUGCAAGCCCUUAACGAUAAAACGGGACUUUGUAAAUUCCUAAGAAGAAGGCACAAUAAAUGCGUCCGAAACGUCGGAUGAAAACAUAAGAAUCCGUUUUGAAUUGAAACAGACAGAAACCCAUUACCCCGAAUCUCUUGAUUUUUUUUAUGAAAUCUUUCAAUGUAUUCUGCUACUGGAACUCCUUUUUAAAAAGAAGUAUACUAUACCCAACAGUUUCCAUAAAAAAACAUAUUCACGAGUUUUUAAGUGAGUUCUUUAAAAAUGGGAUUAGAAAUUACGCCGAGAAUAUGAAUUUUUUUCUGAAAUUUAUAAAAAGAGCCUUACAAAUUUCGUCAGAAAUGUCAAAGUUUAGUAGUUACUAGUCUUGUUGAGAGUUGAAACAAUAAUGAGUCUUUAUUCAAAAUCAAAGCUUAAGCUAACCUGCUUAAUCUAGUACAUAAUUUCUGGAGAAGGCUGAAACGCAUACAUAUCAAUAGCCUAUCGAUCCAUGCAACAGAACGAUAGCCAAUCCAAGGAAAGGAAAAGAUAAUUACGAAAAGGGGCGUUUACCAUUCAAUUAAUUAAACGUUCACACGUGGUUGCUUGAACUGUGCGCUGUUCGGUUAGGUCAGCGCUUCGAGUGGAAAGAAGGAAUUGUGUGCAUUUAUGGGUAUGAAAUGUGAUACGCGUACUCAGCAUGAGUACGGUAUGGGAAACAAGAGUGUUGCACAACUUGUGUGGUAAAUCGAAGUUAUUUAGGUGUGAAUGACAUGUCCCAGCAUUGUUCGUGGGAACAUGAGAGGAAUGCACUUGAAGAAAUGCAGGCGCAUCAGUCCUGCAUGUGAAAAACACCACUUUAAAAGAUGUGGGAAAGACUGCUUGAAAACGGACAGUUGUAAACUGUCAAGAUCAAAUAUUUAUGAUCUUUCAAAAACAUGCUAAAGAAUAAUUCUUUACAGAUACGAUAAUGCUACAAAA